rnacentral:rRNA from 1 species
AUAUUGGGCGUAAGCGCGCGCAGGCGGUUCCUUAAGUCUGAUGUGAAAUCCCCCCUUUUCAACGCGGGAGACGGUCAUUGGAGACUGGGGAACUUGAGUGCAGGAGAGGGGAGUCGGAUUCCACGUGUAGCGGUGAGAUGCGUAGAGAUGUGGAGGAACACCAGUGGCGAAGGCGGCUCUCUGGUCUGUAACUGACGCUGAGGCGCGAAAGCGUGGGGAGCAGAACA